UACGAAUGGAGCGAGCGUUGUUCGGAAUUACUGGGCGUAAAGCGCACGUAGGCGGACUCUUAAGUCAGGGGUGAAAUCCCGGGGCUCAACCUCGGAACUGCCUUUGAUACUGUGAGUCUCGAGACCGGAAGAGGUGAGUGGAAUUCCUAGUGUAGAGGUGAAAUUCGUAGAUAUUAGGAAGAACACCAGCGGCGAAGGCGGCUCACUGGUCCGGUUCUGACGCUGAGGUGCGAAAGCGUGGGGAGCAAACAGG
rnacentral:rRNA from 1 species